AUACGUAGGGUGCGAGCGUUAAUCGGAAUUACUGGGCGUAAAGCGUGCGCAGGCGGUUAUAUAAGACAGAUGUGAAAUCCCCGGGCUCAACCUGGGAACUGCGUUUGUGACUGUAUGACUAGAGUACGGCAGAGGGAGGUGGAAUUCCGCGUGUAGCAGUGAAAUGCGUAGAUAUGCGGAGGAACACCGAUGGCGAAGGCAGCCUCCUGGGCCAGUACUGACGCUCAUGCACGAAAGCGUGGGGAGC
rnacentral:rRNA from 1 species